rnacentral:lncRNA from 1 species
GGAAAACAGGAGCAACCAAUUAAGAAAGAAGCAAAUUUAUAAUCAUGGCUUCUACAGCAGAUCAUGAAGAAGAGACAAAUAAUUUUUCAUAUGCAAUGGAACUGGCAAGUGCCAUAGUGCUACCUGCAGCUAUGCAAGCAGCGGUAGAGCUUGAUGUGUUUGAGAUCAUAAGCAAAGCUGGUCCCGGUGCUAAGCUUUUGGUUUCGGAAAUUGUGGCUCAAAUUCCCUUAAAAGAUAAUAAUCCUGAAGCUGCAGCCAUGACGUUGGAUCGGGUGCUGAGGCUGCUUGUCAGCUACAAUGCUCUUCAUUGCUCUUUUGUUGAUGGACAAAGGCUCUACUCUCUUGCUCCUGUUUCAGCAUACUUUGUUCGCAAUAAUCAAAACGGCGCGUCGUUGCGUCCCUAUAUGGCCUGGUGUCUCGACAAGGUCCUCAUGGAUUGCUGGUAUAUAGAAUUACUUUAUCUCCUUUCUUUCCUUUGCUAAUUUUGAUAAAUUAAGGACAAUUAUCAAAACCUUCUAGUUGUAUAUAUCCAAAAAUUAAUCAUUUGCAUCACAUGUUUUGAACCCAUCAAAAUCCGUCAGCUACUAAAAAGACAGUUAUCUUCAAUUAUUUUACUUUUGUUGUGGUAAAAAACAAAAAAAGUUUAUAGUCCAAGUGUUUUUGAAAUAUGAAAGUAGAAAGGAUUGAUUGUAACAAAUAAUUAAUAAAGUAUUCUUUAUCUUGGUUAAUUAUGCCGUCUAAUUUUACAAACUAAGCUUCUAAAAUUGUUACUAACUGUGUUUGGAUUUUGGAAAAUUCAGGUUUCGGUUGAAAGAGCAAAUUCUUGAAGGAGGAAUUGCGUUUAAUAAAGUGCACGGAAUGCAUAAGUACGAUUACUUGGGCGUUGACUCAAGAUUCAAUGAUGCUUACAACAAUGGAAUGUUAAGCCACACUUCUGUUGUCAUGGAGAAGAUCCUAGAAUCAUACAAAGGCUUUGAGCAUGUUAAGCAGCUUGUUGAUGUUGGCGGCGGCUUAGGAGCUGCUCUUAACAUGAUAAUUUCCAAAUACCCUCAUAUUAAGGGUAUUAAUUAUGAUUUACCAUAUGUUAUUCAAAAUGCCCCAUUUUAUCCUGGUAUGUUACUUACAAAAUUUAUACAAUAUUUUCGUUAAUGAUUCAUUGAUGGGAUACACGAUAGCUAACAAAAAUUAUUAUUAUUAUUUUUAAAUUUCAGGCAUUGAACAUGUAGGUGGAGACUUGUUUGAAAGUGUUCCUGAGGCAGAUACCAUUUUCAUAAAGGUUAUAUGUGUGUAUUAUUUGAAAUCAUCGUUAUAAGGAAAAAUCGAUAUAGGGUGAAUCACUAUUUUCCCCCCUAAUAUUUUGUAGGUUUACUUUGACCCGUUACUCAUUUGGUAUUAGAACUUUGACAAAAACACUUAAGGAAAAGUCAAAAUAUGUUGAAAAGUGUUGGGGGGCAACUGUCUCUCUUUCUUUUUCUCUAGUUGUAAAGGAGUGGCCAAAGCCCAAAUUGAUUAUUUAAAAACCACUGGACUAGCUCCUGAUGCAAAGUGUCAAUCUUUCCGGAUUAUACGUUUUGUUCAAUGCCAUAAAUUGAUCAUAGAUAUUCAUAUUAAUAGAUCUAAUGAGAAUUAACGUAAAUAUUAAACUUUUGCAGUGGGUCCUUAAUGCUUUUGAUGAUGAGCAGUCCUUGAAAUUGUUGAAAAAUUGUUACAAAGCUCUUCCGGAUGGUGGGAAGUUGCUUAAUGUUAAUGGAACAAUUCCAGAAGUGCCUGAGAAUAGCGCGACUUCAAGGGAGAUCUCCCACUUGGAUAUAAUUUGUUUAAUCCAAGUUCCUCAUGGAAGAGAGCGGACCAAACAAGAAUACAGUGACUUAGCAAUCAAAGCUGGAUUUAAAGGCGUCAACUACGAAUAUGGUGCAUGCAAUUUAUAUGUUAUGGAAUUCCUCAAAUAAUAAAUUGCUUUACUUGUAUUAGGAAAGGUCUUCUCAACUCUCUUUGGGGAGUUACCAAUUUCUGGUUUGUGUUAAUUUUUCUUCUCGCCUUAGCUUUUCUCUUAUGUACUCUUUUUCAUCCUUUAAGCAUCUGUCUUUUUAAGGGAGAUUGACUGCCUUAUAAGGUAGCUCCUAUGUAAUAUUUUCCAUUUUAAUUUUUACUGUUGUAGCAUGUGAUACUUAGUUUUUUAUCGAGGAAAAAAAUAGUGUAUUCAUCUGACUUUGUUUUUUUUUUUUUUUUUCCUUUUUCUACUUAUUGCAAAGUUAUGUUGUGCAAAAACCAGCAAUAUAUAAUUAAUAAUUUAAAGUAAUAAAGUUUGAUUUUUGAACGUAGUAAAAUACACCGUAACUGAAUCGAACAAUGCCUGAAAAAUAUAUUGAAAAUGGAUUAUAGAGAUAUAAAUUUCUAUUAUAAUUAUAAUUUAGUUUUUUAUUUUUAAGUUAACUUAGAGAAAAUAUAUUUUAUUUUCAUUAUAAUUGUGAUUUAAUUUUUCUUUUUGAAUUAAUUUAGAGAAGUAGGUUUCCUCUAUUAUAAAUAGAGAGCUCUUGUGGUUGUUUUAAGAACUUUUUUCUAUUAUAAAUAGAGAGUUUUUGUGAUUAUUUUAAGAACUUUUUCCAAACUCAAUUAUUCUAUAAAUUUUUAUUCUAAUUUUUUUUUUCUAUCUUCUUUACAAUUCCUCGUCGGCUAAUAUAGGUCAAAGGGGUUAAAAAAAAGUGCAAGCCUUUUGAAACAAGUCACAGAUGACAGACCCAAUCAGAACUAUAAGUAAAUAUAAUAGUUUGCACUGGCAAUAGGAUUUCCGGCAUUUCGUCUAAGGCACAAUUGACACAACGCUUGAUUGACCAAAACAAAUAGUUGAUUAUUGUAAUUAUUGUGAAUAUAGUCUUUUGUUUUACAACGCGUUAAAUAUGUUUAUAUAUUUUGUAAAAGUCAAGCAAUGAGAUGUAGGGAACGAUUAUUGUUUUCACCAUAUCAAUUAUCUCAAAGAUUAUCUCAAAUAUUUUUCAUGUUCUGUCUGCCGGUACUCUGCCUUCUAGAGGUGCACAGUGAUGGGUGAAAAGAGGAAAAUGAAAAAAAGAUAAGAAAAAAUUUAUAAGGUCCUUUAAUGCGGGGUCGUUUUGGUUCGAUAUGUGUUGAAAAUUUUUUCGGGUGCAAGCUGUCGCUAUCACCGACUUCAAAAACCUUGUCUUGUAAUAUUAAUAUAGGCCCCGAGCCCCCCACCACUUUGCCUCUGUGAUUAAGAACCCCAUUCUUUGUCUUUUAGCAAACCCACCGCCGCUUUAUAAGUCAAUAAUUUUGUUUUUUUUUUUUUUUUUUUUUUGUCAACUCAAUUGAAGGCUUUGCCCACUUGUAGAAAAUCCCAUAAUGGGUUCCACUAGGUUACAGCAGUGGCACAUAUAAUUUCUUUUUGUCUUCUGUGAUAAAAUUUCAUAUAAUCUCUUCUAUUUAUUUUUAUUUAAUAUUUAUCCUAUAAGUAUUAAGUUAAUUUCUACCUACACUUACAGCUACAUUUCGGUUAGCUCUUUAUACUAUUUUAUAUUUACAGAUUUUUUAUUCAAUAUUGCACAUGUAUCACAAUACCCCCUCUUUAUUAUUUUGAAGUUAAAUAAUUAACAUGUUUAAUUUAAAACCUUACACUCCUUUUUAAUUAUAAUCUUUUUAAAUAUCGGGUAUUUUUUACAUUUGCUAUCAAAUUUCAUUUAACACUUUACACUCUUUUUAUUUCGAAUUUUUUUAUAGAUAUUAAUUUACAUUAUGGUAGUGCACUGUGUCCAUAUAUUAUUUAUGAAUGGUAAUUUAUCACUAAUACAGUGACAUUUCAUCCAGGAGUGGCUCUCCUUGUUGAUAAAUUGAAAUUAGCGCAAACCUUGAGGACAGGCAUGAAAAAAUGAGAACACGAGCAUGAUUUGUGAUGAGAUUUAAUAUAGUUGAAUCCAUGCCUCGACUGAUUCAAUAGAAAGGAGGGAAAAAAGAAGGAAAACAGAAGCAAGCAAUUAAGAAAGAAGCAAAUUAUAAUCAUGGCUUCUAUAGCUGAUCAGGAAGAAGAGGCAAAUAAUUUUUCAUAUGCAAUGGAACUGGCAAGUGCCAUAGUGCUACCUGCAGCUAUGCAAGCAGUGGUAGAGCUUGAUGUGUUUGAGAUCAUAACCAAAGCUGGUCCCGGUGCUAAGCUUUCAGUUUCGGAAAUUGUGGCUCAAAUUCCCUUAAAAGAUAAUAAUCCUGAAGCUGCAGCCAUGAUGUUAGAUCGGGUGCUGAGGCUUCUUGUCAGCUACAAUGCUCUUCAUUGCUCUUUUGUUGAUGGACAAAGGCUCUACUCUCUUGCUCCUGUUUCUAAAUACUUUGUUCGCAAUAAUCAAAACGGUGCGUCGUUGCGUCCCUACAUGGCCUUGUCUCUCGACAAGGUCC